rnacentral:lncRNA from 1 species
GGAAUCUCUGAUGGAAAAUUCCUAAGCAUACGUGGUUGCCAUCUUGCCAACGAGAGCAUCCAGUAGUCAAAAUGGUAUGGCUGCAUCUCCAUUACCGCUUCAAUGUCUUCCUCUCUCUCAAAGUGGAACUGAAACUUCCCCAUUCCCAAAUCAGCGCCCGUUACCCUCUCUUCCACCUUCCAAAUCUUUGGUAACAUUACCAAAAGCGCAUCGACCUUUUGCUUCUCCGGGUUCAUGCAUCGCCCCACCAAUGUCAAAGCAUAGCUCUUGAUCAGGUCCGAGUUAUCAAAGUGAGGAACGGAUAUCUUCAACCGCUUCCGAGCCAUCUCACCAUUCUUCAUAUCUCCCCCCGUACCUACUAGCUGGCCCUGAGUCAUUGAAAACAGAACCAAAAGCCACGAAAUGAAAAAAAUGUAGGUAUAUGUAUGACAAGUUGAAACUAUAGAACAACAGAACAAUGUCCAUCUCCUUUUAUAGCCAAAACUACUCCAGUCAAAAUUAUUCUCCCAAUCAAACCCAUUAAUACCAUAUCUGCUCCAAAUGAUUUCCAGAAUCACCACGAUCCCAAAUCCCCUCGUAACCAUCUUAACAAAAAUCUGAAACAAAAUCUCCAUAAUCUCCAAAAUUUCCUCAACACUCCCCAACCAAAUUCCUAUUUCCAAAACUUUACCAAAACAAUCCCGUAUAUUAGUAUUCCAAUCCAUCAGAUGGUAACAGAAGAAUAUCGUUUGACUAUUGAUGGUACUGAUACCUCCCAAAUCUGAUAGGUGAUUUACCAAAUUCCCAAUCUCCACCCCAUAUCGGGGAAGAUUCCAGAUCCGUUGAGCCAUCAUGAUAACUCUGAUCUCCUCGGUCUCUUGAGAUCUCCCAUAAAUUCCUAAAUGCCAUUCUCCUUUGAUACUCCCCAACGCCACAUUCGUAUCAUAGUGAUAGAGAUCCCUGCGAAUCCAUGUUAAUCCAAAAAUCCCCGGAUCCCAAUCCCGUAACCGCAUCGAACCCUAGAUAAUCGCCAUCGCCGUCGCUUUCUUUUAGAGAGAGUUUUUUACUGGAUAUACCUCCGUUUUUUACUGGGUUAACCCCUACGAAAAUAUUGAGUUUUUCGAUAAAUUCUCUAUAUACUGAAACCUAUGAUCUUUAGUGUUGUUUUAAAUUUUCUAAACACAUUCUUUAUUUUUAUUACUGCACUUCUUGCAUUUCUUGCUCCCCGUUGAUACCUGUUUCUAUCAUCUUGUACUUGAUACCUUGGUUGUUCCCAACGGGUAUUACGCGACCAUGCUCUUUCUUCCUCUCCUCUGUUGGGACCACGAUAGGAUGAGGGCCUCUUGCUUCCUCUUUCUGGAACCUUAACCCACUUCGACUCCGGUUCCUCAUACAUUUUUCCUUUACCUUUGCCAUAGUAAAUAUUAAUAUUCCAAUCCAUCAAAUGGUAACAGAAGAAUAUCGUUUGACUAUUGAUGGUACUCAUACCUCCCAAAUCUGAUAGAUGAUUUACCAAAUUCCCAAUCUCCACCCCAUAUCGGGGAAGAUUCCAGAUCCGUUGAGCCACCAUCAUAACUCUGAUCUCCUCGAUCUCUUGAGAUCUCCCAAAAAUUCCUAAAUGCCAUUCUCCUUUGAUACUCCCCAUCGCCACACUCGUAUCAUAGUGAUAGAGUUUUUGUUUCUAAUAUUUCCAACUUUUUUGUAGACCUAUUUACUUUAGAAACGUACAAAAGGAAUUCCAGGAUCGAACAUCGAUCAAGAUCAAGGUAACAUGUGUGAACUUUUUUUGACAUCUCAUGUGUAAACUUACGGGACUCCCUCCACUUUGAUCCAAAAAGGAAUCUCUGAUGGAAAAUUCCUAAGCAUACGUGGUUGCCAUCUUGCCAACGAGAGCAUCCAAUAGUCAAAAUGGUAUGGCUGCAUCUCCAUUACCGCUUCAAUGUCUUCCUCUCGCUCAAAGUGGAACUGAAACUUCCCCAUUCCCAAAUCAGCGCCCGUUACCCUCUCUUCCACCUUCCAAAUCUUAGGUAACAUUACCAAAAGCGCGUCAACCUUUUGCUUCUCCGGGUUCAUGCAUCGCCCCACCAAUGUCAAAGCAUAGCUCUUGAUCAGGUCCGAGUUAUCAAAGUGAGGAACGGAUAUCUUCAACCGCUUCCG